rnacentral:rRNA from 1 species
AAACCCAGUGUGAUUCGUCACACUAUCAUUAACUGAAUCCAUAGGUUAAUGAGGCGAACCGGGGGAACUGAAACAUCUAAGUACCCCGAGGAAAAGAAAUCAACCGAGAUUCCCCCAGUAGCGGCGAGCGAACGGGGAGCAGCCCAGAGCCUGAAUCAGUGUGUGUGUUAGUGGAAGCGUCUGGAAAGGCGCGCGAUACAGGGUGACAGCCCCGUACACAAAAAUGCACAUGCUGUGAGCUCGAUGAGUAGGGCGGGACACGUGGUAUCCUGUCUGAAUAUGGGGGGACCAUCCUCCAAGGCUAAAUACUCCUGACUGACCGAUAGUGAACCAGUACCGUGAGGGAAAGGCGAAAAGAACCCCGGCGAGGGGAGUGAAAAAGAACCUGAAACCGUGUACGUACAAGCAGUGGGAGCACGCUUAGGCGUGUGACUGCGUACCUUUUGUAUAAUGGGUCAGCGACUUAUAUUCUGUAGCAAGGUUAACCGAAUAGGGGAGCCGAAGGGAAACCGAGUCUUAACUGGGCGUUAAGUUGCAGGGUAUAGACCCGAAACCCGGUGAUCUAGCCAUGGGCAGGUUGAAGGUUGGGUAACACUAACUGGAGGACCGAACCGACUAAUGUUGAAAAAUUAGCGGAUGACUUGUGGCUGGGGGUGAAAGGCCAAUCAAACCGGGAGAUAGCUGGUUCUCCCCGAAAGCUAUUUAGGUAGCGCCUCGUGAAUUCAUCUCCGGGGGUAGAGCACUGUUUCGGCAAGGGGGUCAUCCCGA